rnacentral:rRNA from 1 species
UACGUAGGGUGCAAGCGUUGUCCGGAAUUAUUGGGCGUAAAGAGCUCGUAGGCGGUUUGUCACGUCGGCCGUGAAAACUCGGGGCUCAACCCCGAGCCUGCGGUCGAUACGGGCAGACUGGAGUGUGGUAGGGGAGACUGGAAUUCCUGGUGUAGCGGUGGAAUGCGCAGAUAUCAGGAGGAACACCGAUGGCGAAGGCAGGUCUCUGGGCCACUACUGACGCUGAGAAGCGAAAGCAUGGGGAGCGAACAGG